UCACAAUAUCAAGCUUGGCUUGUUGUUGGGCCCUUUGUCACCUGGUGACAGGUCCAAAAGACAAUAACCGGUGUCAUACAGACUUUAUAUGCAACGAGCUUGUAACAGCACGCAUCUGGUGGUCGUGUGGCCCGGUUUUUAUAUAAAUAAAUCUCAA
rnacentral:misc_RNA from 1 species